rnacentral:rRNA from 1 species
CAGUAGCCGCGGUAAAACCGAGGGUGCAAGCGUUAAUCGGAAUUACUGGGCGUAAAGCGCGCGUAGGUGGUUUGUUAAGUUGGAUGUGAAAUCCCCGGGCUCAACCUGGGAACUGCAUCCAAAACUGGCAAGCUAGAGUAUGGUAGAGGGUGGUGGAAUUUUCUGUGUAGCGGUGAAAUGCGUAGAUAUAGGAAGGAACACCAGUGGCGAAGGCGACCACCUGGACUGAUACUGACACUGAGGUGCGAAAGCGUGGGGAGCAAACAGGAUUAGAUACCCCUGUAGUCCCUGUCUCUUAUAC